CACGGGCCCUGCCAUACAUUCAGAUAAAACCUGGAUAGAAACCAGUUAUAAAUUUGUAAAUAUUUUCAAGCACUAACUGGGGAGCUGGUUGGGUCAUUUU